UACGAAGGGUGCAAGCGUUAAUCGGAAUUACUGGGCGUAAAGCGUGCGUAGGCGGUUCGUUAAGUCUGAUGUGAAAGCCCUGGGCUCAACCUGGGAAUGGCAUUGGAUACUGGCGGGCUAGAGUGCGGUAGAGGGGUGCGGAAUUCCCGGUGUAGCGGUGAAAUGCGUAGAGAUCGGGAGGAACAUCUGUGGCGAAGGCGGCACCCUGGACCAGCACUGACGCUGAGGCACGAAAGCGUGGGGAGCAAACAGG
rnacentral:rRNA from 1 species